CCAACAGUGGAGUUCUUGCUGGGAAUCACAACACAUGGAAUUCAUUAGGUCACAGCAUCCACAUUGUGUUAGGAAUGAUCUUUAAGGCCUGUUUGAGCAAGCUCAGUUUUGCCUCAGAAUUGCACCUGGACCUUCACAUCUGUGCCUAGUGCCUUCCCAUGCUCAUGUGCCUG
rnacentral:lncRNA from 1 species